AGAAUUUGUUGAACAUUUAGUCAUAUUUCUCUUUGAUGUCUAAAACCUCUGGUUUCUAAAGAUCAUUGAUAAGCAUUGAGAACUCUGCACUACCAUAAUUACCCCAGCCACUACAACUUUUGAAAAAGUGCAUGAAAUUGCUUUCACAAUGUCUAGCCAUUCAAGUGCUGUCAGAAUUAAGACAGUUCACUUUUUGUUCCACACUGAACUAUAUUUUCAACACAACGGUGAUCUUGAUAACCUGUGUUGCAGGCGUAAUGUAUUCAAUGAAGUGUGUGCAUUACAGGUUGGUGCUGACCGUUUAUAGAAAACAUCAACUUCGAUGGAUGAAUUCUUCACUUUGUAUUGGAGUAGCUAGAACACAAAGCGGCUUGCAAGACCUUUGGAAGCCUUACAAG
rnacentral:misc_RNA from 1 species